UUUAAUCAACAACUUCCUCUGACAGUCCCUCAGUUGGGUGUGAGCUGUCGCUUCUAUUCUCAGAUGGUACCGCAGAGGGAUAUGAGCCUCAUAGAAAUUCAGGAAGUCGUCUCCAGGAGCUCCUCACAGCCAGGGCAAAUCCAUAUAUCACAUGGACCAGACUGAAACAUUCAGUCCAGAAGCUGGGAGAGUGUGUGAAUGAUCGCCUGCUGCCAGCUAUGAAAAUGCUUCUUGAAGAGGUGGCGGAGACAUACCCAAGAAUCAAAACAUCUGAAAAUACUUUCUGGUGCUAAUUUCUUGAAAAUAAAAAAAGAAUAAAUGGCACAUUUACAUCAAAGCCUUUGCAGAAUUUAAGCAAGGUCACCAUUUUCCAACCUUAAAAUGGUUUCCCGAACAAUGACAAAGGAAAACCUGCGUAGUUAUUCAUUGUGGCAAUAUGGAGAAGUGGAUACCAAGACCUGCCUUUCAUUUAAUCACAAGCCAAAGUGGUCUACAUGAAAAGCCUUCAUUUGACAAACAUGAAACAUUACCAUUUUGUUGUGUUCUCUGUUGCUUUUGUUUAAAUAAAGAAGAUUAAGGUUUUUUUCAGAGCUGUAUCUAAAAUGAAAGAUGCUAAAUCCUUUUGUUCUUGUACCUUUUCCCAAUUUCCUAAAAAAUUCAAAAACAGCUUUUCUCACUGAAGGC